CCUACGGGUGGCAGCAGUGGGGAAUAUUGCACAAUGGGGGAAACCCUGAUGCAGCGACGCCGCGUGAGUGAAGAAGUAAUUCGUUAUGUAAAGCUCUAUCAGCAGGGAAGAAAAUGACGGUACCUGAGUAAGAAGCCCCGGCUAACUACGUGCCAGCAGCCGCGGUAAUACGUAGGGGGCAAGCGUUAUCCGGAUUUACUGGGUGUAAAGGGAGCGUAGACGGCAGUGCAAGUCUGGAGUGAAAGGCUGGGGCUCAACCCCCGGACUGCACUGGAAACUGUAUGGAUGGAGUGCAGGAGAGGUAAGUGGAAUUCCUGGUGUAGCGGUGAAAUGCGUAGAUAUUAGGAGGAACACCAGUGGCGAAGGCGGCUUACUGGCACAUAACUGACGCUGAGGAGCGAAAGCGUGGGUAGCAAACAGGAUUAGAUACCCGUGUAGUC
rnacentral:rRNA from 1 species